AUUGGUCUCGACGGAGAUUCGGAGGUGCUUGUGGCAGGCCAGGGAGUCUAGACCCUGUCAAAACCAGGCAAAACCACAAUUGCCAACAGCAAUGUGAUCCACGUGGACUUCGCUCGCAAGAGCGUUGCUCCCGUCGCCUUAGCGGCCUAAUCCGCUUAGCUAAGCCGUCCUCCCCGUUUCGCCCAAGGGCGGGGGCAGGGCGUCAUUUUUGGGCUAGCGAGCGCCGGUGCUUGAGACGGCGUAAGCGAAACAAAUCUUGAGCUGGUCCAGGGACGAUCCUGUCGGCGGGGUUGAACUGGAUAAGAUUAAAAACACCGAAUAAGCCUGUAGAAGCAUGUAUCGAAGAUCUUCGGACGCGGGUUCGAUUC
rnacentral:tmRNA from 1 species